CGCUAGAGGCGCUUGCGUCCAUAGGAAAGCAUUAAUAAUGCUUUCCUAUGCGACCGGCUGAAUGCACGCGCACAGCUCUUGCCGCGCGUGCGCAUUUAGCCGACGGGGAGGAUCGGAGGAGGAGAACUCCCCGCCCAGCGCUGGAAAAAGGUAAGUUUUACCCCUUUUCCCCUUUCCAGAGCCGGGCGGGAGGGGGUCCCUGAGGGUGGGGGCACCCUGAGGGCACUAUAGUGCCAGGAAAACGAGUGUUUUCCUGGCACUAUAGUGGUCCUUUAAGGUCCAUGAUUGUUCCGGUCAACAUUGGAUUAUACUUGGUAUUCAGAUCUAAUGAGUGCAAAAAUCAAAAUUGCACGAAUAUUUCUCCCAGAUGUAUUUUAUUCCUUUUAACCUGGAUUAAUAAAAUAAAAAGGAAAUUGCAGUUGUAUAUUUCCUCUUAACCACAGUCAAGACAUUACCUGUUUGCAUGGUGUUUAUACACUUUCUGCAGAACGACGUUCAGUUAUCACAAUUCAACCAUUUUUAACUGAUUUGGCUAUUUACAAAAGGCAGAUUGAGUUAUUUCAGCUGAAUUUGCACUUCCAUUCAUCUGCAAAUCGGUUGUCUGCUUAAAAUCCACCAAAUCUCUGCAUACCAUGGGAGAUUUGACUAUUUACAGACAAAUUUGCAACCAAGUUGCCUAUAUAGUAUUCUUGUUCCCCCAAUUUAGCAUUUUAGUUGCAAUACCCCUGGUCUAAAAUAUUAAUGCUAAACUACUUUACUGCUUCUCCAAACCUUCUUAAUUCUUAAAGAUGUCUAACCGUAUAAUCCUCCACCCCAAUCUGCAUUUACAUUAGAGGCAUUUAUAGUAGAGACAUUCAUAUAUAAUUUGUAGGCAAUUUGGUUGGAAUUCUGUUUGUUAAUUUGAGCUGAAUUAAAAUUAAUCUUAUUGCAGUAAGGAGAUCCAUUUGAUUUGAUUAGCAUUUUUUCUGUUGAGCCAGAGAGGGAUUUUAACAGCUGGAUGCAGGGUAAUCUUGCUGAUUUGAAAUGAGACAAAUUUGCCUAAGCAAACAAGAUAUUUAUUGAAUAGGCCCUUACUGUGUCUGCAAUAUUUGCCAUUAUUUAUCCCCACUGAAAAGCGUUGUGGCAUAUGUUAGCACUGUAUACAUAAUGAGAAUAAUAAGCUGUAGUGGUUAUUGUGUUUGGACUGUCCCUUUUAACAUUUACAUGCGCAGCGUUUGGUUGAAAUCUUCUUGCAAAUAUAACCUUUCAUUUUCUUCAGAGCUAUAAAUAAAGUUAGAAUUCAGUGUGUGUUUCUUGACUGGAACAUAAAAACAUUAAAAGUCCAUCAAUUUAGAGUUUGGGAUUUAAUUAGCAACAAUUUGAAGUUUAGUGAUUAAAUUACCUAGCGUUUUCUGUUUGUGUGCUGGAAAUUUGCCAAUUUGCCCCCCCCAUGUCCUGAAUUGGCAAUUCCUUUACUGCUAUUAAAAGGAGGCCUCCUGGAACAAUAAAAGUAAAAAUAGGCAUGUUCCGUAAACUUUUUUUUAAUGUAAAUAUUUAACAAUUUCUUAAAAUGUGAUCCUUUUCUAUAAACUGAACCUAAAAUGCAUCAACAAACUGACACAUUUUACAUUUGAAUCUUGUACAAUGCAUCUUUGAUAUAAUCACAACUUUCAGUUAUCAUAGUUCAAAACACUGCAGAUUUGAAUAUUCCUAAUAAUGGAGUAUUUAAUUCAUGAUUUAAGCCCAUUGUCCUAAAAUUGAGGUUACUUAGCUCUAAACAGUGCGAGGAUCUUGUCGCAGCUCCUUUCCGUCCCCUAGUGAGGAUCUCCAAGGCCUAACUAAAACGUAUAACAGAGAGGCAUUGGGAGCAAUCGCUGCUCUGCUCCAGUAGAAUGCUUGUCAUAGUCUCAUAGAGAAGCAUUGAAUCCAUCUAUGAAAAGCAUGGUGUUAGCAAUCACUAAGAAUAAAGACAGGAGAAAGUUACUUGGGACAUGUGUUGAAGUGGUGAAAUCUCCAAAUAAGAAAGAGCCAGUUUAAAGCACUUCAGCAAGCUGAAGUGUUUAAGAUGUCAUAGUGUUGUUUUUUUGUUUUUUACCACCACCACCACCACUACUUUUUUUUCCCAGUCAAUAUAUUAUAUUGUCAAAAUUGUCUUUUAUUGAUCCUGUCCAUAAUUUUUUUUUCUAUUUUUUUUUUUUUUUUUUUUUUAAUCCACAAAAGUCAUUGUUUGCAUUGUUUGACUGUUUAGCUGAAAACUAGAUAUUUUAAUGAAGCCUAUUAUUUCGCACAUGCAUUUCCGAUCUCAGCUUAUUGGGUCUUACAUGAAAUGUUUUGUCUGCUUCUUGUCACUUUUUAUUCAGGUUUGGCAAAGUAAUGACCUAAAUCAGGGAUGGGAUCUCCUGUAGGCUGGAAAAGCAUCAUAGGAGUUAGUGUUCCAACAGAUGGUGAGAUCAGCCUGUUGGCCACCCAUGUGCCAAAUAGCAGUGUUUGUUGAGAUUUACCAGUAGUAACAUGAAUCCUUUACAUAGGAGAUUAAAGGGAAUAUGGAGUGAACAAAUGAGGUGCCAAACUAAUAGAAGUUUAUUUGCCAAACCGCUAAUUGUAAUGAAUUGAAAACCAAAUUGCAAUAUUUAAACAGAAACAUAUUUGUGAAAAUUCUGCAACUCUGCCACAGUUUCUUUUAGCCUGAAUUUUGCAUUUCUCUUUACAGAUCAUGAAAGUUCAGUGAAUAAACCCCUUAAAGCAAUAGAUAUUUACAGCUCAGUUUUAUAAUCAAUCUCCCAAACCACACCUCUUUUAAAGGAUCACUCGGUACCUUAACCACUUCAUUUUCAUUAAGUGGUAAUAGUGCUUGAAGUUACUGGCACCAAUGAUUUAACACCGAAGUGGUGUUCCUAGGUGCCAGUCAAUGGUAUUUCCAUUGUCUAACCAUUGGCUUGAGCAAUCAAGGUGCGUCAGAGAUAAGCCACUUUGAUGGUUGUGCUAAUGCUUUGGGCUAAGACAGGAGUCUGGGAACAGUAUUUCUGUGUUAAACUGUUCAAAAAUUUAUUUACAAUAGAAAGCAAGACAGAGCUUUGAAAUUUUAUGCACCAUAAUCACUUAAUUGGUGCCCAGAGUGGUGUUUUACACAUGGAUUUGAUGGAUACAUAGAAUGUUUUUUUUUUUUUUUUUUUUUACAGACGAACAUUUUUUUUUAAGUGUUAAAUCCAAUGAGUGCCAGAAUGUGUGUAGCCAAGAUAUUAAUUCUAUAAUUCAGUGAUAUGAUUGGAGCUUAUAUUCUAUAAUCCAAGUGUCUAGAUGUAUGAGAGAGUCCACAUAUUCAGCAGGGAGACCUGUACAAGUGAUGCUUCCUUUUAAAAUGUAUCAAAAAUGAAAAUGUGUUCUGUUUUCUUUUGGUUUGGUUUUUAUUGUAUUCUAGAGCAUGUGAACUUUUAUUUUUGAGCAUCACAGCGUCUCUGGCAUCUUUAAAUACUCUCAUGUCCUGGUUCAGCCAGGGAAGAUUGCUUUUUGACUUUUUCCCGGUUUGUUGAUGGAUUGAAUACCAUAAUUCUGACUUCUAGAGCUGUGUCUUUGCAGUACAGAUAUAUUGCUGGUUCUGAUUUCAAAGUAUUUUGGAACUAAUGACGCACAAGUAUGCUGCUUUGCAUUCUUAGAACACUGAAGUAGGGUCAGAGGCCUGUUAAGCAUAAAAUACCUGUUAUUUCUAGAUAGUGUUCUCUACUAACCUUAGCAAAAAAAAAAAAAAAGUAUUACUUUCUGGUAAUGGUACAGGACCUGAGACUGCCCUAAGGUUAGAAAUUCAAAUUUGGUGUAAUAUUUUAUAAUAAUCACUGUGUAACAGAAGUACUGCUUUACUUUUAAAAGCAGCUUUUUUUUUUAAGUUUUGUGUGUGUGUGUCUUUUUUUUUUUUGUGUGUGUGUGUGUUUUUUCACUGCCUGCUAUGCAGGAAUUUUGGAGAUCAUUCAUGUCUUAUCUCAUACAAUCCAUUAAACUGCCAGGAAUACUAGGUACUAUAGUGCUUAUGUUGUCAACAGCAUAAGUGAUAAAACAAAUGGAUUCAGUCCCUAAAUGGGAGAUUGUGGGGAAAAUGUCUCCAUCUGGUCAGUGUUACGUCAGUUUUUCUAAUUAAUGCACCACAGUUAGCCAUUUAGUAAAACAGAUCCCCAUGUGUGUCUCUCUCUUUCACUUAAAUCAUUUACACUUCAUUUUUAUUUUCUCCAAUGUAUAAAGUCUGAAUUGUUUGGUGUAUUGUGUACAGUGGUUGUUUAGUUUUACAAACUGUUUAUUAAAUGAAUAAUUUCUGUUGGAAUUUUUUUUAAAUAAAUAUUGUGCUCUUACAGAAAAAAAGGUUAUUUUUAUUUUUUUGUGCAUAACUUAAAGGGUUAAUCCAACCACCAUAACCACCUAGAUGAUUUACAGUGGUUAUGGUGGUAGGAGUUUGUAUGUGCAGCAUUUCUGUUAAAAACGAUGCAAGUACAGAGAAAUCUGCACUUUUGUGCUGGGCGCUAGUUCCACCGCUGGUACACGUGACAAUCAAUUAAGGGCAUAUUUUACACCCGUCAUCGUCGACGUCCUUAGCUUCUACCCUUGCAGGCAGUUCUGUGCAUAAUUUACGUCUUUUGUCAGCGUGCACAGCAAGAGAUUCUCCCUUGCAAGCAGUACGACAGCAAAGGAAAUCUUUGCCCUACCACCAUCCUUCUUUCAUUGCCAGUUAUAAGGAGCCUUUGAUUGGACCACAUGAGGCCAUUGAUGAUGUCAGAAGAAAAGCAGCAACAGGAGCUAAGCCCAGCUCUAGAUUUACAAGUGAGUUUUCAAGUCUUAUUUACGGG
rnacentral:lncRNA from 1 species